rnacentral:rRNA from 1 species
AUUGAACGCUGGCGGCAGGCCUAACACAUGCAAGUCGAGCGAGCGGCGGACGGGUGUGUAAUGUAUGGAGUCUGCCCGAUCUAGGGGGAUAACUACUGGAAACGGUGGCUAUUACCGCUUACUGUCGGAUAACCCAUAUGGGCGAAGCUAGUAGGUGGGGUAAAGGCUCACCUGGGCGACGAUCUCACGCUGGUCUGAGAGGAUGAUCAGCAACACUGGGACUGAGACACGGCCCAGACUCCAAGGGAGGCAGCAUGGGGGAAUCUUGCACAAUGGGCGCAAGCCUGAUGCAGCCAUGCCGCGUGUAUGAAGAAGGCCUUAGGGGUGUAAAGUACUUUCAGCGGGGAGGCGUUACCCGAAGAAGAAGCACCGGCUAACUCCGUGCCAGCCGCCGCGGUAAUAC